rnacentral:tRNA from 1 species
GCCUCGGUUGCGCAGUAGGCAGCGCGUCAGUCUCAUAAUCUGAAGGUCGCGAGUUCAAUCCUCACCCGGGGCA